UACAGAGGUCCCAAGCGUUGUCCGGAUUCACUGGGCGUAAAGGGUGCGUAGGUGGCUUGGUAAGUUUGAUGUGAAAUCUCCGGGCUUAACCCGGAAACUGCCAUUGAUACUAUUUGUCUUGAAUACUGUGGAGGUCAGCGGAAUAUGUCAUGUAGCGGUGAAAUGCGUAGAUAUGACAUAGAACACCAAUUGCGAAGGCAGCUGGCUACACAAAUAUUGACACUGAGGCACGAAAGCGUGGGGAUCAAACAGG
rnacentral:rRNA from 1 species